UCCCUCGUGGCGCAAUUGGCUAGCGCGUUCGACUGUUAAUCGUAAUAUCACGAAUCACGUGAUCGAGAGGUUGGUGGUUCGAGCCCACCCGAGGGAG
rfam:Sclerotinia sclerotiorum 1980 scaffold_5 genomic scaffold, whole genome shotgun sequence.